ensembl:lncRNA
UGCAUAACAGUUUGCUAAGCAUAAAACGAAACAUAAAUUAAGAUAAUUGAAAAGAAAUAUAUUGGUAUCUGUGAACUCUGGUACAAAGCAGAGUUUCAGUAGUAAUACAUUUAAAUUUAAAAUAUAAGUAAAUGAACCCAGAUCCUACACUAAGUGUGGCCCAUGACUUACCAUUUUAAGAAAAUUGCUGGUAGGGUGUGAAUUGGUCAUUUGUUGGGGUUUUUAUAGCAGCUUCAGAGAAAAAUGGGGAAUCAACCAUGGUCAAGGAGCUAAAUAAGUAUCCUGGCCAUUUGGGCCAGAAAUUAAAGGGAGUGCAGCAUUAAGAAUUAGAGGAAGGAACCUCCAAGGAAGGAGCUAUCCCAAAGGGUAGCAGAAACUGGAGAAAACAGCAGUAUGAGGCUCUACCACUAGUGUUCACCUAGGAGUGCUUUGUUCAGAUCGCAGCCUGGGUACUAUUUUAGGGAAGGAAGCCGUUUCCUUUACAGUAUGUUCAUGUGACUCCUGUGCCUAAGAAUGCUGAGGUUUGAGCCAGGGGCUAGAAAGGAAACUUAGCAGGCCAUUAUGAAUCAGGGACUCAUCAAAGGCAUCACAAACAGGAAAAGGUGAAUGUUCAAGUUAGAAGAGAAGAGCUACAUUGAGAUGCAACAUAUUAAUAUUUGAGGGCCUCAUUUAAGAACGUGUUUCUCUCCUGUCACACUCUAUGACACUGGUCUGUCAACUGGCUAUGCCUGUCUAGUAUACACUGUAAAAUAUGUAUCAGCUGGGGUUGUAGAGAGGAACUAUGAUCAAAGUAGUCACCCAGCCUGUAUGAGAAAAUGAACCUUUCGCCAAAAGGUAGCCCCAGACUAAAAAGCCUGGAGAAUCCUUAUAGUGGAUUAUACCAUCACUUCAGUCAUUGUGUUUAAGAAAUAACCUCUUUGGCUUACAGAUUUGAUAAGAUCAAAGCUGCAGGAAAAUGGACAGUGAGGUUCAGAGAGAUGGAAGGAUCUUGGAUUUGAUUGAUGAUGCUUGGCGAGAAGACAAGCUGCCUUAUGAAGAUGUCGCAAUACCACUGGCAUAUAUGCGAUUUGAUGUGUUGGCAUGUACUGAACGGGAUGAUAGAUACCAAAUGAAAGACACAUUAUUUUAGAAAGCGUACCACAGAUAGGAUGAAAUUAAGCAA